rnacentral:rRNA from 1 species
UACGUAGGUGGCGAGCGUUAUCCGGAAUUAUUGGGCGUAAAGCGCGCGCAGGCGGUUUCUUAAGUCUGAUGUGAAAGCCCACGGCUCAACCGUGGAGGGUCAUUGGAAACUGGGAGACUUGAGUGCAGAAGAGAAGAGUGGAAUUCCACGUGUAGCGGUGAAAUGCGUAGAGAUGUGGAGGAACACCAGUGGCGAAGGCGACUCUUUGGUCUGUAACUGACGCUGAGGCGCGAAAGCGUGGGGAGCAAACAGG